rnacentral:rRNA from 3 species
UACUCCGGGGAUAACAGGCUGAUACCGCCCAAGAGUUCAUAUCGACGGCGGUGUUUGGCACCUCGAUGUCGGCUCAUCACAUCCUGGGGCUGAAGUAGGUCCCAAGGGUAUGGCUGUUCGCCAUUUAAAGUGGUACGCGAGCUGGGUUUAGAACGUCGUGAGACAGUUCGGUCCCUAUCUGCCGUGGGCGCUGGAGAACUGAGGGGGGCUGCUCCUAGUACGAGAGGACCGGAGUGGACGCAUCACUGGUGUUCGGGUUGUCAUGCCAAUGGCACUGCCCGGUAGCUAAAUGCGGAAGAGAUAAGUGCUGAAAGCAUCUAAGCACGAAACUUGCCCCGA